rnacentral:tRNA from 1 species
AUAAAUAUAGUUUAUUUUAAAACAUUAUAUUUUCAUUAUAAAAAUAAUAUUUAAUUAUUUAUUUAUA